rnacentral:rRNA from 1 species
UGCGGUUUAAUCUAAUUACACACAGAGAAUCUCACCAGCAGCGACGGUAGGAUGAAGGUCAGAUUGAAGGUUUUACCUGACGAACCGAGAGGUGGUGCAUGGCCGUCGUCAGUUCGUGCCGUAAGGUGUUGCGUUAAGUCGUAUAACGAACAAGACCCAUGCCUAUAUUUGCUAACGUGUUCUAUGGAAUGAGCGAGCACAAUAUGGGGACUGCCUUGGAAACGAGGAGGAAGGUGUGGGCAACGAUAGGUCUGUAUGCCCCGAAUCUGCUGGGCUACACGCGCGCAACAAUGGUAGGGACAAUGGGAUACAACUCCGAAAGGAGAAGUUAAGCCUCAAAACCCUAUCUUAGUUUAAAUUGAGGGCUGUAAUUCGCUCUCAUGACAAUGGAAUCCCUAGUAAUCGGGUGUCAACAGCGCCCGGUGAACACGUCCACGAGCCUUGCACACACUGCCCGUCAUCCCAACCGAGCAGGGCUUUGGUGAGGAUUAUUUUUCUUGAAUAAUUCGAACCUGAGUUCAGUGAGGCGGGGCAAGUCGUCACAAGGUAUCCGUAGGGGAACCUGCGGAUG